rnacentral:rRNA from 1 species
UUGGACCUGAUAUCAGACAAGACUACCCGCUGAACU